UCUCUCUUGGUCUAGUGGUAAGUACGCUGGAUCGUCGUGCCGAAGAGGCGGGUUCGAUUCUCGGAGAGAGAG